rnacentral:rRNA from 2 species
AGAAUCAACGCUGGCGGCGUGCCUCAGACAUGCAAGUCGAACGCGAAAGUCCCCUUCGGGGGACAAGUAGAGUGGCGCACGGGUGAGUAACACGUAGGUAAUCUACCUUCGGAUGGGGAAUAACAACCGGAAACGGUUGCUAAUACCGCAUAAUGCAGCGGCACCUAAUGGUGACAGUUGUUAAAGCGGGGGAUCGAAAGACCUCGCGUCUGAAGAGGAGCCUGCGGCGGAUUAGCUAGUUGGUAAGGUAAUGGCUUACCAAGGCUACGAUCC